GAUGAAAACAGAAAGCCUCACAAACAUGGUUUUGACUAGCACAUUUCAGAGAGGCUAGGAAUGUGAAGGCCAGUUUCAGAGCCUGAAAGGACACAAAGGAACCACAUCACAGGGAGCUUGCAUGUCUCAUAAAGAUGUGCAAGGAAGAGACCAGGAAUGCAAGGAUUCUUGUCAACUCUUCUAUCUGACAUCAGCUGAGUGUACCUAUAGAUGAGAGCUUAAUGGUUAAUUUGAUAGAUUAAAAAAAAAUAAUAAUUAGUCAUCAUUGAACACAUCAGAACCCGUGUACAGAAUGUUCUGGAUGAGAUCAGUGUACAUGAUAGCAUUUAAAUGAUAUGACUGAAUGCGAUCGUCAUGGAGAGGGCCAAGACUGAGCCUUAGGGGGCUUGGAGAACACACAGCAGAGGAGAAGCAGAAACUGGUUUAGUAUGAGAAGUGGAACAAAAACACUCUUCAGAAGUUUGGAAGAAAUCUUGCAAGAGUGGCAGAUGGAGACCACAUAAUCAAGACACCGAUUGCAUGAUUGUUUUUAAAAGGUGCCAUGUAGGCAGAAGACCGAAUGCACAAAAGAAGAAAAGACUCCACUUCCCCUUUACAAAAUGCAAGUUAUAAUACACAAGUUAGUAACUUGAUCUUCAUUCAAAAUGAGAUUCUGAGCUAGAAGUUCCCUUAAAGAAGAGCAAAUGUAACUCCCUCCUGUGAUGCCGGAUGACUACUUAGCUCUGUAGGAAGAUUAACCAUCUGCUCCCAAUCAUGUGCUUGGAAAGUUAUAAGGGGAGGGAACUCUUAAAGGAUCCCAUCUGAGCAAUCUCCUCAUCUGGUGCAUUUGUGGCUUCUGUUGCCUUCACCAGCAAUAAAAUCAUAAAAUGAUGGAGUUGGAAAGAACCUGAAUAAUCUUCUAAUGUAAUCUGUCUUUUUUUUUUUUUUCCCCGCUAAGAAAACUGAGGCCCACAAUGGUCAUCUCUUGCCCAGGGCCACCCAGUGGGUUAUCACCACAGAGGUGUCAUGGAACUAGGUCUCAAAUGCCCAGGACAGGGCUAUGUUUACUCUGCUUUGAUUUGAUACCUUUUCCCUCCUGCAACAAAGAAAGUUUUUAUUAUGGCUAAACAGGAUAUUUAAAGUAACAUGAAGAUUUUAUAACUUAUCAAGACUUUAUAAGAAAAAGCUUAUGACACUUGGUUCUACUCCUGAAACCAAUACUACACUG